UUGCUUCACAGCCUGCCACCGAAACUCCUUAUGAAACGAGCUCGAGAAGGCCAGGACCUAGAAGUACUCAACUUACAAGUGAAGAAACGCCAGAAACAGGAACCACUGAGGUUGGAGGCAGCGGAACGGUGAGUGGUGUUCUAGCUUGCUACCUAGAGAGGUUCUGUACUGUAACGGUGAUCUGGUAUGAUGAAACAUGCAAGCAAUUGUUUAAUUCGCAUCCCUCCAUUCAUGAAGAAACGCCUAACUAACAUUAAGCUGGGGGAGACGUUUAAAAGUGGUAUGAGUUCAUUGGAAUCAGAAGAGCAGGACUCUGGUCAUUCGAUUUUUCAUAUGAUACCUAUUAUUGUCGGGUUCUCUACAAACUUAAAAUCUGAAAAAAGAAACGCAUUUAAUUUAUUUCCCGUUUU
rnacentral:lncRNA from 1 species